AGCAGCCGCGGUAAUUCCAGCUCCAAUAGCGUAUAUUAAAGUUGUUGCAGUUAAAAAGCUCGUAGUUGGAUUUCGGGGUUAGUAGGUUGGUCAUGCCUCUGGUAUGUACUGGUCUCACUGAUUCCUCCUUCCUGAUGAACCUUAAUGCCAUUAAUUUGGUGUUUUGGGGAAUUUGGACUGUUACUUUAGAAAAAUUAGAGUGUUUAAAGCAGGCUAUUUUUGCUUGAAUACAUUAGCAUGGAAUAAUAAAAUAGGACGGCAUGGUUCUAUUUUGUUGGUUUCUAGGACCACCGUAAUGAUUAAUAGGGAUAGUUGGGGGCAUUAGUAUUCAAUUGUCAGAGGUGAAAUUCUUGGAUUUAUUGAAGACUAACUAUUGCGAAAGCAUUUGCCAAGGAUGUUUUCAUUAAUCAAGAACGAAAGUUAGGGGAUCGAAGACGAUCAGAUACCGUCGUAGUCUUAACCAUAAACUAUGCCGACUAGGAAUCAGACGAUGUUAAUUUUUAAUGUACUCGUUGGCACC
rnacentral:misc_RNA from 1 species